AACGUUGAAGACGACGACGUUGAUAGGCCGGGUGUGUAAGCGCAGCGAUGCGUUGAGCUAACCGGCACGAAUGAACCGUGAGGCUUAACCUGACAACGCCGAAGAUGUGUU
rnacentral:rRNA from 1 species